GGUUAAGCGACUAAGCGUACACGGUGGAUGCCCUGGCAGUCAGAGGCGAUGAAGGACGUGCUAAUCUGCGAUAAGCGUCGGUAAGGUGAUAUGAACCGUUAUAACCGGCGAUUUCCGAAUGGGGAAACCCAGUGUGUUUCGACACACUAUCAUUAACUGAAUCCAUAGGUUAAUGAGGCGAACCGGGGGAACUGAAACAUCUAAGUACCCCGAGGAAAAGAAAUCAACCGAGAUUCCCCCAGUAGCGGCGAGCGAACGGGGAGCAGCCCAGAGCCUGAAUCAGUGUGUGUGUUAGUGGAAGCGUCUGGAAAGGCGCGCGAUACAGGGUGACAGCCCCGUACACAAAAAUGCACAUGCUGUGAGCUCGAUGAGUAGGGCGGGACACGUGGUAUCCUGUCUGAAUAUGGGGGGACCAUCCUCCAAGGCUAAAUACUCCUGACUGACCGAUAGUGAACCAGUACCGUGAGGGAAAGGCGAAAAGAACCCCGGCGAGGGGAGUGAAAAAGAACCUGAAACCGUGUACGUACAAGCAGUGGGAGCACGCUUCGGCGUGUGACUGCGUACCUUUUGUAUAAUGGGUCAGCGACUUAUAUUCUGUAGCAAGGUUAACCGAAUAGGGGAGCCGAAGGGAAACCGAGUCUUAACUGGGCGUUAAGUUGCAGGGUAUAGACCCGAAACCCGGUGAUCUAGCCAUGGGCAGGUUGAAGGUUGGGUAACACUAACUGGAGGACCGAACCGACUAAUGUUGAAAAAUUAGCGGAUGACUUGUGGCUGGGGGUGAAAGGCCAAUCAAACCGGGAGAUAGCUGGUUCUCCCCGAAAGCUAUUUAGGUAGCGCCUCGUGAAUUCAUCUCCGGGGGUAGAGCACUGUUUCGGCAAGGGGGUCAUCCCGACUUACCAACCCGAUGCAAACUGCGAAUACCGGAGAAUGUUAUCACGGGAGACACACGGCGGGUGCUAACGUCCGUCGUGAAGAGGGAAACAACCCAGACCGCCAGCUAAGGUCCCAAAGUCAUGGUUAAGUGGGAAACGAUGUGGGAAGGCCCAGACAGCCAGGAUGUUGGCUUAGAAGCAGCCAUCAUUUAAAGAAAGCGUAAUAGCUCACUGGUCGAGUCGGCCUGCGCGGAAGAUGUAACGGGGCUAAACCAUGCAC
rnacentral:rRNA from 1 species